AGAAACUUAGGUUAAUACUAAACCAAAAGCCUUCAAAGCUUUAAACAGGGACACCACCCUAGUUUCUG
rnacentral:tRNA from 1 species